GAAAUUACUUGGCAGGGGAGACACCGUGAUCACGCAGGAGGUUUCUCCAGGGUGAGACUCGUCCAUUGCACUGUGGGAAAUGCCCCAAGCUUUCUGAAAAAAAAAGAUAUGCAGUAUUUUCUGUGUCCUCUCCUGGCAAGGACAAGUUUGCAGCUUUUGUGAU